UUACUAUGCAUUUAUAUUUUCCUAGAUGCUGUUUAAGCAUUUUUUCCCCAGCAAGUCUGGGGUUUGAAACUACAUAAGUCUCUCUUGUAAUAUACUUUCCUGGCACCAACUUCAUUUUUACAGGACACAUUAGGGUCUUAGUGCAUGAUGGUGAACCACAGGCAAACUUCUGGUACAUGAACAAGUUUUGCCUGAUAUGCAUCUAUCUAUG